rnacentral:rRNA from 1 species
CGUUCCGGACCUUGUACACACCGCCCGUCAAGCCAUGGAAGAUGGGAGUACCUGAAGACGGUAACCGCAAGGAGCUGUCUAGGGUAAUACCAUUGACUGGGGCU